ensembl:snRNA U6 U6 spliceosomal RNA
GUUCUCACUUUGGUAGCACAUAUACUAAAAUUGGGAUUUACAGAAAAGAUUAGCAUGGCCCCUGAGAGAGGAUAACAUGCAAAUUCAUGCAGCAUUCAAUAUUUUC